rnacentral:tRNA from 1 species
GGUGGAAUGGUGUAGAGGUUAGCACACCCGACCGGGCAUUGGGGGGCCAGAGUUCAAAUCCUGGCUCCGCCG